UUUUUUUAUUUUUGCAUAGAGGACCAAGAUUUUGGUUCAAGUAACUGGAAAAAGAGAGUUGCCAUUUACGGAAGGGAGCGUGGGUGUAGGAAUAGAGAGAAGAAAACUUUCAGUUUCUGACAUGUUGAGGUCAAGGCACAUUAAUAGGUGUUUCCUCCCAGAGAAGUACUGCAGCGACCAGGAGAUGGCUGGAGGAGGAGAUGCGACAAGCGGAGAAGAGGCAAAGUGACUGAGCUGUGAGGUGCACCAGCCUUGAGAGAGCCAGCGGGGAUGGACUGGCUGAGGACACUGAGAAGAGGUCAGCGCUAGGCAGGGGUGAGCUAAAGCCAAAUGCCUCGAGGGGAAGGAGAGAGUGAUUCAUUACGCCAAGCUCUGCUCACAGGCAGGCAAGGUGACCACACGACGAGUAUUGGGCUCUAGCAGCAUGGGAGUCCCUGGGGACGCUGACAGAGUUCCUUCAGAGCAGUGAUGGGGACGAAAGCCUGAGGGGAGUACCUUCCAGGGAGACUGGCAGCAGGAAGAGAUCCUUCUUGUGAGUGGAGGAACUGGUAAUUGAGAGGAUGCAGAGUCUCAAUCUUGCACCGCUUUAAUGUGAUUUAGGGCAAAACUUUUAAAACUAAACGUGCCAAACUAUAUACUACCCUACUUACCACUGGAAAAUUUUUCUACUCUAUAACCCCACAACUUAAAUAUGAUUUUCCACGUGUGACUUUAUUUUAUAUUUGAAUUCGCCACUGUGGUUCUCUUUCUCUGCCCUGCCCCUCCAUCCCUCUCUCUUUUUGGUCUUUUUCAAUAGCCAAGUAGAAGGGGAAGACUGUCUUUAGUAUGAGUAAAUCUCGCAGGAAAUAUGAGCUAAUUUAUGAGUCAAAAAAAGAUAACAUGCAAAAAUGGAAAUUUUUAAUCUUUUGAAAUGGGAACAAUCAUGUGAAUUUCUAUUCAGGCUAUUUUUUAUAAUGUGAAAAUAAAUAGCCCUUCUCAAAUUUAACAUUGCUAUCUUUUUUUAUUUACUUAUUUAUUUUGCAGGUAUGGCGGCGGAAAGUAUUUUUUAAUCAAACACAUGCCUAUUUUACAGGACAGCUUGAAUGUCAUUUACUGAAUAACUUUGUAUUUAUGAAGAGCUUUGAGCUCCUUAGGAAAUCUGUUAAAAUGUGAAUAAACAAAGAACCAGCUAUUUAUUUAAUUUGUUCCAAAACUGAGUGAAACUUCUCAUUGUGAUCGAGGAAUAAGUAUUAAACAGAUAAUCUCCAAUAAGACAGGUCACGAUGCUAGCUUUCAUGUCCCCCAUUCACUGAAAAGUCCAUGGAAACCCUUUGUAGGACCUUCAAAUUCUUAAAAACCCAUGCCAAAAAUCAUCUUUUAUCCAGGAUGAAAUCUUUCUUAGGUGGGUUCCCAAUGACCCUUCUCCCAGCAUGAGAAGGAGCCGAAGGUUGGAAAGGAGGUUGCCCCUGGCCUCUGUGAGUCCUUGUCUUGGUGCAGCUGCCACCUGAGCCCAAAUGAUGGGAUCCCAUCAAGCUCCACCCAAAAGAGCCGCUGGUGAAGCUGAGCCAAGAGCAGGGAUGAUGGACCAGAACUCCUUUUCCAUCACCUCAAGUUUGGGAACCACAGAGACCCCAUCACCUGGGCAAAGCAUUUGGUGCCCCUUGGAACCAACACCCUUUACUAUGCGUUCAGCUUUCCUUAAGAUAAACUAUUUAGUUCUGACCACAGACUUAACACCUUACCCUGCAAAACUGAAGCCCUGAAAUGAUGGCCCCACCCUCCUUGAGAAGAGGCUUUAGGAAUGCCUCCAUAACUAAAACCUGCCCCUCCCAUUUCCUUUUUUUUUUUUAAUUAGUAGACUUUAUCUUUUAGAUUUUAGGUUUACCAAAAAAUUGAGCAAAUGUACAGACAGUUUCCACAUAUCCCAUCUCUGUCUCCCACUUCCCACAGUUUCUCCUACUAUUAACAUCUUACAUUGACUGGUACAUCUCUUGUGACUGAUGAAUGAAUAUUGGUACAUGACUAUUAUAAGGUUACACUGGCAUUCACUAUUUGUGUUGCGCAGUUAAAUGGGUUUUGACCAAUGCAUAAGGUCAUGUAUCCAUCAUUACAGUAUCAUGUACAAUGAUUUAACUCUCCUAAAAAAUGAAUGGUCUUUCCUUUUCCUUUUGAAGUGGUUUAUCCAAGUAUCCAUUAUAAAAAAUCUUAUCACAUCUUCAGUGAUGUUUCAUUACCUGGAAGGUGUUUUAACAUCCCUUAAAGGGAGCUAACUACCUGGUUGGUCCACAGUAAUCAGAUGCUUGCUGUGCAAAUGGUAAAAUUUCCAGUUUCCAUUUCAAUCUUACCGAGACAGAACUUCAAAAAUUUUGGCUAGCAAAAGAGAAGGUGACUAUACAGUCUUCUCGCCCAAGUUCAAACAGGGGCAAGAAUGAUGAAGUACAAUGCCCAUGAAGAGUUCCCAGCAUGCUAAAUGCACAGAAACAUUAACAGAAGAUAAGAAAAGAGGCAAUACUAUCAUUAAGGCAAGGUUAAGUUACAAAUCCAAUUCUGGUUUCUUUUUACUAGCUUCUCUAGAAGGACAUUGGGUCACUUUCUGAAGCAAGUUAGAGUUUCCUUUCUUUGUAGGGGGGCUUAAGUUCCAGUCAUUGCUACCACUGUAUUCAGGACAUGAGUUUUCUUGUAAUAAGACAGAAAUAUGGUUCUAAAUGUAAUAGAAAGGCAGACAGACCAAUAGUUCAAAGUGCGUGAAAGACUGAUUUCCCUAGGGUUACUUGAGCCUGGGGUACUGUGUCUCACAUUUUGAGCAUCAUGCUUAUAGGAAAACUUAGGAAGAAACAGUGUGUUGAAAUAUUUGGGUCAGGAAAGAUCAAUAGAACUGAAGCUUUUCAGGUCAAUGCAAAUGCAAAAUUAACACCAAGGAGGAGACACAGCGCAAUGAAGUGGAAAAACACACCAUUUAGAAUCCAAGCUAAAUUCAAAUCCAAUCCCAGCCACUAAGUAGCUCUGUGACCUUGCCUAGCAUACUCAGUCUUAGGACCUCCAAAUUUCAUCUCUAAAAUGAAGAAAAUAAUUAUUCUGGCAGUUAAGUUAGAUCAACAUUACAGAGUCCCGGUGGAUUACAACAAAAACUUGAACUACUUUGUCUUUCUGUAGCAUGUAGCCUAUUAAGUGAGUUUACAUUUUUUAAUUGAAGUCCUUUUCUUUCUAUAGAAAAAUUUCAUCACUGCAUUAUCUGUUUCAUACACAGUGUGCUUUGUGUUGGCUGAUUGUUCAUUGUGACUUGAUGAAAAAUGUCUUCACGUUCUUAAUUUGAUUGAAUUAUUCUAUUACUAUGAAUAGACAGUCUGCAGAGAAAUAACAAUUUGUCUCUCAUUAGCAGAAAUGAGUUUCACAUCACAAACUUAAAUUAUCUGUUGAACUUCUUUUCAAGAAUGGCCUUUAAAAAAAAACCUGAUGAUGAUCGCAUAAGUACCAUAACUUUUUCUAAGCUAACCACAUGGGGGAUUUAGAAGAUAGAUAAUUUCUCUCAGAUAAGAAGGGAGGAAGCAGCGGAUUCCCAUUUUAGCCAGCUUGUCCUUCUUUGGGAAAGUAGGCUGGGAGCUUAACCUCUGACUGAGGCUGCUCUGAGGAGAAACAUGUCACAAGGCUUGGAAGUCUCCCCACGCACAGAUAAGAAUGGACACGGUCUUCUUGGGGCCACUGUUUUUAUUAUUAGUUUUUUAGCCCCUUUGUCCCUAUGGCAUUCAUGGCUGAACUGUGAUUUCCUACCUCUGCAGUGCAGUUUAGGAAAAGAUUAGGAAAUCCAAGAGAGUGUUCAGAUAAGACAAAUCUUUUUCCUCCAGUGGUAGUGACUGUUUUACAUAAAACAAGAAAACAACGACAGCUAAGAGGAAAAUAUUUAUUCUGCAUGACUGUGAGCUCAAAACCAGCAAACUCCAUUUUUAGCAAUUUGACUUUAAUCAAAGCCUGUUUUAACAUGAUAUCAACCUCUCUGGUUUCCAUUCAGCUACCACUGUAUGGUUCGUCAUCCAUUAGAAUUAUGAAUUUAUGAAGCCCUGUGUAGGAAAACCCUGGUCUGCCUCCUGUGUUUCUCCUCUACGCACACACUGUUCCACACUCACAGAAUGUCUUACCCCAGCUGUCUGUGUUUUUUUCCCUGACACCAAGAGAUUCUGCAACGCCAGCUGGGUGUCCCACAGUUGAACUCAAUUCUGACACCAUCCACCUGAUCCUACUGGUUAGGGGCUCAGGCCUAUGACACUCCCUCAGCUUUUGAUGCCAACGGCGCAUACUACUUCCCCAAGCUACCACAGCCUCUAUCCGACAUGGCUACACAUCAGAAGUGUCUGUGACGUCCUCCCUCCUUGGGUUGGAUGAUCUUCCAGAAGAGUUUUAUUUGUUUGUUUUGUUUUGUUUUGCUUUUUGGGGCCACACCUGCAGCAUAGGCAAGUUCCCAGGUUAGGGGAUCAAUCGAAGCUGCAGCUGCCAGCCUACGCCACAGCCACAGCCAUGCAGGAUCCGAGCUGAGUCUGUGACCUACACCUCAGCUCAUGGCAAUGCCUGAUCGUUAACGCACGGAGCAAGGCCAGGGAAUGAACUGGCAUCCUCAUGGAUACUAGUCAGGAUUGUAACCUGUUGAGCCACAGUAGGAAGUCCAAGAAAAGUCCAGGGAACUCACUGAGAAGAAACACAAGAAAACUUACUUUUACCAGUUUAUUAAAACCUACCAUAAAGGACACAGAUAAAGAGCCAGAUGAAGUUACAGAGGGCGAGGUCCGAGAAGGUCCUGAGCACAGGAGUUGGGCAGCAUUGCUCUCCCAGUAUAUGGAUCUGUUCACCAACCUGGAAGCUCCCUGGCCCCUCUACCAUUGGGAUUUUUGUGGAGGCGUCAUACACAGGCACAGCCAUGAUAGAUUAUUAAUUCUGUUUCUAGUUCCUUCUCUGGGGAUGAGCAUUCCAAGCCUUGAAUCAUGGCUUGGUCUUUCCAGGGAACAGCCCCCAGGAGCCAGUCACCUCAUUAGAACAAGAGACACUCCUAUCAUCCAGCACACUUCAAGGGGUUUAGGAGCCCUAUGUCAGGAACCCGAGUCAAAGACCAAAUAUUACAACAACAGGUGUUCUCAUCACUCAGGAAUUUACAAGGGUCUCAGGAGCUUGGUGCAGGAUAUGCAUUUCCUAUUAUCUCACAAUUUCAAACCAAACACUUUCCUGUACAUGGACAAAAUACUGUCUGCAAACGAGCAUAUUACCAGAGUUUGCCCACAGCUACAGCUAAUCAAUCAGUUAUGAUUUUUAAGUGGUCAUUCUUGUUUUUCUAACUUUAAUAUAUCUUAAUCAAAAAUCAUAGUUUUAUCCUCAUACUUCUCUCAUACUCUACUAAUAAGUAAUAAAAAAUUUGGACCAGAUGGUUUUCAUCCUUAGGCUAUUCAGAUUAGACAUGCCUGGUUUGAAUGAACCCACGAGUGAAGGCUGCUCUUCAGGAGUAGCAGAAACCACGGAAUAGAUGUGCAGAUAACAAUUCCCCCAUAAUGCGUAUUUUACAUUAAUUCCUAAAAUAGAAAAUGGUGCAGGUGUCAACUUGAUAUAUUCAUAUGUAGGUAUAAAUAUUGUUACACGGUCAUUAACUGAAGCAGAGAUUAACCUCAACAUGCAUUACCUCUAAUUUUACCUUUAUUCUGGGAGACUGAGAAUAAUUUCUGUGCCUGGUUAUGCUCAGGGGAAAUCAUAUCUGUACGUUGAGGUGUAAACAAUCCAAACUCUGUAAGAGGAGGCUGGGGAGGGAUUACACAUAGUCUAUUUUAAAUAUGGAAAGCAGGCGUUCCCUUGUGGUGUAGCAGGUUAAAGAUCUGGCAUUGUCACUGCAGCAGCUCAGGUUGUUGCUGUGGCAUGGGUUCAAUCCCUGGCCCUGGAACUUCCAUGUGCCACAGGCGCAGCCAAAACAAAACAAAAAAAUAAAACAAAGAAAUACUGAAAAAUGAAACAGGUUUUCAGAAGCCAACUUUGUGAGCCUCAAUUUUCCCUUUCGUGUUUAAUUUUGCAAGACUUUGACACCAGAUGAAUGUAAAUUUACUCCUUUACGCAUUUGUAGUUUUAAUGCAUUGGUUCUCUGAGAGUGGUCUUCAUUUUACAUGAGGUCCCUAGAGUGCAAGAAUUAUAUCUGUUCAAUUUGAAUCUGCAGUACCAGAAAUAAUGUCACUUGAUAUCAAUGAUCAAGACACAACAAUGAUGAGAACUCUGCUGAUGCUUUUCAGAAGAGGCUCAAGAAGAUCCAUCCCUAUAGCUUAAAACACAGUUUUGCUGAGACGAUGUAUUACUAGCUCAUAGUAACUGCAGUUGCCCUUCAGAAUGGUCCCUAAUCACUGUAAAAGUACAGACCAAAGGAAGAGAUACUAAUGUAUUCACUCCAGGUGGCUUUCAGGCAACACAUUAAUUCUUGAACAUGAAUAUAAAUAAAUAAUAAAUAAAAUGGAAUUCAUCCCAAUCUAUCAUAGAACUUCCUUGACAACUUAAAAGUCAACCAAAUAAAUCAGAAUAAUAGGAUUUUGACAAAACAAGACAUUUAUCUAUUACCAGAGAAACAUAUUGGUCACACAACUUAUAAAUUGCCAAUAGAGGUUUUCCAUCCAUCACCAAGAUUCCCAUCUAAUGACAGGGAAAUAAUUACCACACUCUACCAUGUCAUGCAAUCUUUUGAUGUGUUUGGAAGUGAAACGACGUGGAAAUGCAGCCCUCAGUGUAUGGACAACACCUGUGGGGUGGGUAGAUUUGGUUUUUUUUUUUUUCACUAAGGGCAUCUACAUUUUCUCAUGAAUAGGCAUGGGAGGCUCGUAAUUGUUCUAUGGCUUCAAGAAAGACUGCAGAGACACUUUUCUUGAAGAGAGAGCCUGUUUAAUCUUGGACCUUCCUAUAAUCUAUUACAGCCCUUCCCCCAUGUACACAUCCAAAAAAAUAUGCUUCCUAAUGUUUUACAAUGACAAUGAAUUGGAAGCUCCAGAUUCACUUCCAACACACUAGGUCCACUUCAACCUAAAAACUGAAUUUUCUCUAACGUGAAACCUGCAGGCAUCUAUCAGCACUGAACUUGAAUAUUUCAAUAAAUGAACCUGGAAACUGUUCCCAAAUUUUACAUAAGCCCUGCCCAGAACUUAAAGAAUGAAAAUCAACCCAGAAUGAAAAGAAACAAGGGACGCUGCUGUUCACCAAGAGGACAGGCACAUAAAGCCAGCUGUGUAAUCAACAGGAAACGUUUCUCCCAAGGUCAAGCAGCAGCUGCAAAAUGCCAUAACAACCCCCUUCUUGAGUGACGUCCGCUUUGUCCCCAGUGACGCUCUCAGGCUCCCUUUGCUGUAACUCAUCUAUUACUGGGGAUCCCCAACCACUAGGCUUCCCUCGCCUCU
rnacentral:lncRNA from 1 species